CAGUAGCUCUCAUUUGAAGUAGGACCAGACACUGUCCACAGAAAGAACUGUGAAGUGCUACAAGGCCUCAGGAGAGGCCAGGAUGCACCUCACUGGGAGAUCAGGAAGUUUUCAGAAGCAGGCUGGUUCUGAGCUGCGCACUGAAGAAUAGGCAGGGUUUGGAAGGUGGUGAUACAGAGUCCAGUCCUGGGAAGUCAGCUUUAGACUGGGAAAACAGGAGAUUAGAGGCAAUAAGGAAGAAUAUCCCAGGUAAAGGUGCUUCUCGCAUCCUGUCUCCUCUGGUCCUCGAAUCAACCUGGCAAGCUAGGUGCUGAUAGAUCCACUUGAUGGAUGAGGAAACCAAGAGCACAGAGGCCAAGGGACUGGGCUAAGAUCUCUCAUUCGGCUGGGGUGGGGGAGAGUUGGGAUUUAAACUCAGGAUCAGCCAACCCAGAGUCCACGUGGCCACAAGACAGGUUGGGAACACAGGAUGCACACUCUGAACCUGGUGCUAAGGCCAUCAGCCUGCUACCCUGAGUUAUGCUUCUGAAGUAUAUGGCUGAUCCUGGGCCUUGCGUGUAUUCUUAUUUCCCAUCUGGAAGGCAAGGGGCUCAGCCUCUGACCACUCCUACUCCUUCCAGCUCUUGUGCAGUGUGAUUCAGGGGCUUUGAUUUAUUUCACUUGCCUGUGAGCUGGUCUACUCCUUUUAGAUCACAGGAGGGAGUAUUGCACUUGAAUCAAGAUAGUAUGCAUUUCACAGAAUGUACUUUAUGGUGGCUGUGAAAGAGUCAAUUCUGUUUACUCAGCUAUGGCUGGUGCUCUCUGGAGUGCAAGGAAAGACCGAACCAAAGGGAGGAUUAAUGGCUUGCUGUGUGACAUAGCCACCCAAAGGCACUGUCCUUAGAUUUUCAUCCCCAUUUGUGUAGCUGAGAAGUGUCAAAUCAGGCAUAUGCAUUUAGUUCUGCUCUUGAGUUUCCUGCUGAUGGAUUCUGCAGAAUGACUCAGGGUAGCAGAGUUUCUGUCAAAUCUAUUGCUUGCUUCUGGGGAUCUGUGUGGUCCAGAGCCAGGUGACUUUACCAUAUAUGUCUUCCUACCAGGAUAGAGCAGGGCUUGGACAAGGGCUGGUAUGGAGGUGAGGGACUACAAGCGUCAUCUGUAGUCCUACAAAUCUGCCCUCUGAGACAUUUUUUUAUUCUAUUUUUUAAUGUGUACUUAUUUAUUUAUAGGGGAGGUGCAGAGAGAGAGAGAGAGAGAGAGAGAGAAUCCCAAGCAGGUUCCGUGUGUCAGUGCAGAGCCUGAUGCGGGGAUCGAACUCACAAACCGUGAGACCAUGACCUGAGCUGAAACCAAGUCAGAUGCCUAACUGACUGAGCCCCCCAGGUGCCUCUGCUUCUUCAGACCUUGAAAUGCUUGCCUGUGUCCUCUUCUCCUUCCUUCUCCAGUCCUAGCGAAACUACUUUUUGGAGUCCAUCCUAUUUGUAAAAUGACUGUUAUUCAUAUCGAAUUAAUCCGAAAGUAGUACCAUCAAUUUCCCUCUAAAAUACCAACAAGACCACCGCUUUAAACUGUUGAUACACGAGGGGCGCCUGGGUGGCUCAGUCGGUUAAGUGUCAGACUUCCACUCAGGUCAUGAUCUCACCAUUCUGGAGUUCGAGCCCUGCAUCGGGCUCUGUGCUGACAGCUCAGAGCCUGGAGCCUGCUCUGGGAGAUUCUGUGUCUCCCUCUCUCUCUCUGCCCCUCCCCUGCUCAUGCUCUGUCUCUCUCUUUCUCUCUCAAAUAUAAAUAAACAUUAACAAAUUUUAAACUGUUGGUACAUGAGGGAGAGAGAAGAGUUGGUGAGAGUCGGCGUGUUCUGAGCGUUCACACCGUAUGCAGAGAGGUAGUUUGCCGCAGCUCCUGUGCUGCCGUUUCCACUGUGGUAAAACAAAGCUGGCAUUCCCGCCAGGCUUUGCAGUUCAUAGCUUGCUUACCUGUGGGUCCUUAGGAAGAAAGCCCCUCUGGGUCCUUUUCCUCAUCCUAAUACCACAUUGGAUUCUCCUGGGGCUUCGGCGGUGACAUUAUCAUUCUCUUCACUUUAGAGAUGAGGCACCUGAGAUUCAGAGAGAGGAAGUGAUUUACCUCCAGAUGCACAGUGAGUGACCGAGGCAGGACUGCUUGAGUCCAACUAUGGUGACCUGCUUCCCCUACCCACGGAGGGUUGUGGUUGAAUAUGCUACCUAGAAGGCCCUUUCGAGCUUGAGCAACAUUUGAUGCUAAAGAAACAUUUCAACAGAAAACCCUGUGGAAAUUGAGACAAGUUAUCUUCUCAAAGUCCUGAACUCCCAUUCCUACUUCAGAAGGAACUCCUCUGUUCACAGCAGCUAAAGCUAGCCCGAAAUCCAGUUCCUUCCCAAGGAAAUUCUGUUUGGAUUUUGGAUGCACACCUUUCCAAGCAUUGUGUUCUUCAAAUUUUGUGCCAACCCUCUAUUUAAUCAUUAAAAGGACUGUUAUUUUAAGUAUCAACUUCCUCAGUAACAGUGUUUGACUGAAAGCCUACAGAAUGGUGACUUUGCCCAGAGUGUGACUUCAGUGAGCUGACUGCUGUCCAGGGCCGUGCAGCAACUGAACAAUGAGAAAAUACCCCACUGUGUAAAUCCAAUCUGAGGUAAUACUCAGGAUGAGAGAACAUGCAUAAGUUACGUACCAAUUUGACAGGAAUGGAUUCCAAAUCUGGCACACCAUGGUCUCACUCCUCACCAGUAUACUCCUGGAACAACAAGCACAUGGUGAGCUCCUUAGAGUUUGUUAGUGGGAGGAAGCCUUGGGUUUCAGGAGAAAGUAUUUGGAUGGCAUGUUAAGAAGCCUUUUCAUUUUCGACAGAGUAGAAAAUCUGCCUCUGAGCCUGUGGUAUGAUCUUUUCUCUGGAUGAACACAAUGACUAUCUGUCUCACAUUUUUCUGAUAUUUAUUCUGCAAAUCAGCUUCAUGAGCCCCUGCCACUUCCCUGAAUAAGCUUCCAGGCAUUACCUGCAUGCUGUGUUCCUGUGGAGGGAUGGCAGUAAUCUCUGCUAAGAUAAACUGGAGCUUCUGUGGAUACAGCGUAAAUGCAGUGAAGUGUGUGUGGCUGUAAGAUUUAAUGCCUAUACAGGGAUAUAGAGGAUGGAAAGUGUCAAGUCAGUACAGCAAGAACCCAAGGAGAGGAAAAUAAAGUAAGUGGAAGAAAGUAGCCUCCCACCUCAAAGGUGACCUGCAGGAUUCAUGGAUACAGUAUGCUAGCUGAACCUGAGACAGACUGAAACUGCCGUCUACAUUGUUGUUCUAACCAACUGAGCCACAGUACUUCAGGGAUUGAUGAUGGAACAAAAAGAUCCUGGCAUGGGAGCUGGUCUGGAACUGCACUCAUUCAGUGAGGGUCCACUGAGUGACACACAAGUGACUGAAUCAAUGGCAAGGGAAGUGGUGUUCUUCCAUGGCAAGUCCUUCUGCCAGCUGUGCCUGUGACUUCAGAGGGAGGGUCUGGGAGUUCCUUCCACAUCCCAGGCUGAGGGGAAAAGGAUUUCCUUCCCUUAUGAAAGGGACAUAAAAUAAAAAGCAAAAUGUGGGGUGUGGAAGGUGAACAGAGGCUCAGGAAACAUCAUUGACCUACUUCUCAUCAGCGUCCAUGUGGAGUGGCCCAAGCAGGCUGCAGAGGAGCAGAAUACCUGAUUGUCUCUGUCUGCUUCUAGAUCCAGACCUCAGCUGGCUGUGGCUUCAUUCCUACUUAGCAGGACUCAAUAGACUUUUUUAAUGACAAAGAUAAAAGCAGCUGUCCACCCUAUUCUUUGUGCUGACUCAGCUCUUCCUGGGGAAAAGGCUACUCCUCCAUGGCCUGGACAUUCUCCAAGCCCCUCCUAGGACUGGCAGGGGUCUCAGGGCCUACAUCUCCAUUAGGAGCAAUAGGGAGAUAUCAGGUGGAGGAGCCCCUACUGCUGAGAGGAGAGCCCCUCACCCUGCCCCCAAGCCUCAUCUGCCAUCUUCUCCAGCUGCCUCCAGGCCACCAGGAAGAGAGCUACACUGUCGGAACAGUACAGAUAAAUCAGCAAACACAUGGGUGAGAGAGGAAGGCUGUGAAACAAGAAAAUGAAUAAAAUUCCAAUCAAAGGAAGAAAUAAGGCAGCAAAACCACGUUGAAGUUAUCCCUGUAUAGUGCCGAGUGUGACAGCAUUAACGAGUGAGAAAGCACGGGCUCUGAAAAUUCCCUCUGCAGCCCACCUCCCACCUGCCAGAGGCCUCAGGCACACCAGCCACUCUGCACAGACGACACUUCCACCCCCUCCCAUGUCUGUGGCCCUACGUCCCAGCUCCUUUCAUAGCCAAGAGCUAGCCGCAUAGUGCUACUCUGGCUGCCUAGCGAUGUUUUUCUGUCCCAUGGGACUCACAACAGGAGAAAUGGUUGUGUGCAAAGGAGUGACAGGGGAAAGGAGCAGCCGCAUCCCUCCCUGGGAGGGGUCCAAGACCUGGACCGCAGUAGCAGCUGACACAUGGCAGGGAAGCCAGCAGAGGAAGAGAAAUACUUAGCAAGAUGUCCUUGGAACCACAGUAGAGGGGACGGCCAUCUUGCCAGCGCAACCCAAGGAAAAGCCCCGAGUCCCGCUGGAACGAAUUGGAGGUCAACCAAUCACCGAGUGACAGCACAACCUGACGCGAAAAAGGCCCACGGGACCUAAACCCUGAACCGCUGCAGCUUAAAAACCCCAACCCACCACACCCGGGCGCGACUUCCCUGACUCCUCUCUCUCUCUCUCCCUGAGUCAUGGAACCUCGCCCGAGACCCUUGUUCCCAAUAAAGCCUUUGACUGCUAAAA